AUUGAACGCUGGCGGCAGGCCUAACACAUGCAAGUCGAGCGGAUGAGUGGAGCUUGCUCCAUGAUUCAGCGGCGGACGGGUGAGUAAUGCCUAGGAAUCUGCCUGGUAGUGGGGGACAACGGUUCGAAAGGAACGCUAAUACCGCAUACGUCCUACGGGAGAAAGUGGGGGAUCUUCGGACCUCACGCUAUCAGAUGAGCCUAGGUCGGAUUAGCUAGUUGGUGAGGUAAAGGCUCACCAAGGAGACGAUCCGUAACUGGUCUGAGAGGAUGAUCAGUCACACUGGAACUGAGACACGGUCCAGACUCCUACGGGAGGCAGCAGUGGGGAAUAUUGGACAAUGGGCGAAAGCCUGAUCCAGCCAUGCCGCGUGUGUGAGGAAGGUCUUCGGAUUGUAAAGCACUUUAAGUUGGGAGGAAGGGCAGUAAGUUAAUACCUUGCUGUUUUGACGUUACCAACAGAAUAAGCACCGGCUAACUUCGUGCCAGCCGCCGCGGUAAAAC
rnacentral:rRNA from 1 species